UUCCCUUUCCAUGUUUUCGAACUGAUGCUGUAGUAUAAUAUAAAAUAUUCUAGCUAUGUUAUUGACAUACGGACUGUAAAGUGUUGCUUCACUUUUACAAAGUCGGGUAUUCAUGUCGGGCAUCCGGUGUAAUAUCCCCCAGAAUAUCGAAGAGCCUAACAUGCUCACGAAUUAGCGAUCUUGAAAUAGCGAGAUAAACCCGGGGGAGCGCGAAGGUAACAGCCACGCGUUAAUCUAGCAGAGCUGCAGUAGGUGACAGAAUGGCUCUGUCUUCGACGAAGGAGUUUGAAGUGCUCGUGGGCACUCUGAAAACUGCAUACUCGCACGUGGACGGCCUCGAAUGUUUCCUCCAGAGAAACCAGUGUCUGGAGGUGGUCCGCCCCGGAGACAGUAUGAAAUAUAAGAAGUUUAUUUCCAACACGCUGGUGUGCACCACGGAAGACACGAAAAAGCUGCCUCAACCGCCUUGCAUGCAGCAGCUGUCCUCCCAGAGGGAGGUUGUGUCCCGAAUACUCCAGAGGUUGUGUGCAAAAGGAAAGAAGAAUGUCCUUGCUUUUGGCUACUCCAGCAUCGGUGAGACCAGCUCUGUUCAUGUCAAGUUUGCACCGAGCAUAUGCAGCUAUCAGCCCAAUACAACCACCGUGAUGAUGAGCAGCAGCACACUUUGGGAGACCCUUCUGAGCAGGGUGGGUGAUGAUGUCAUGAUGUACUUGCUGGAGCACUGCUCUCUUUUCACCGUGUCUCCACCCAGCUCCUGCUUUCAGAUCUGUGGAGUACCUUUCUAUAGCCUACUUUCAUCUGGCUCACUUGCCUCAUUCAGAUGUGUCCGACAAAGACCAGUUAAUGCCAAAUAUAAUGUUUUAUCAAAAAUGCUCAAGUCCAGAGUUGUUUUUUAUAAAAGGAAGUCUAUGCGGAGCCAAAGACAAGGAAUCAAGAAUGUUUACAGUUUGCCUCCAUUUUUUACAGAGGAAAAUCAGGGAAUCAAAGUAAAUAGACAGAUGAAAAGAGGGCUUAAUGCUGGUCUGUAUCCUCCUGCCAAAAAGCUUAAAGUAGAACAUGUUCAGCACCUUACAAGCCACUCCAGUGGCCCUGGUGUUGAACUCCUACUAUGUAAGGAAGGUAGCGUAUCUCCUGGUUAUCUUUCAGAUUUGCUGUCGGUGCCUGUAACAGAAGAUGCAGUCAGUAAAGAUUUCAAGGCACCAAGUACAACAUCUGCUGCAAGUAACAUAGCAGAUGGAUCUUCUGUUGUUGAGAUGUCUGAUGGAUUACAACAAGAAUCUCAAUUUACAGUAAUCUCAGCUAAGGUGUGUGAAGAAGCUAGUGAAAAAACUGAUUGUGAUAAAUCAAGCUUUGCUAUAAGUGAGACAGAGAGGAGCAAAACCGAACAAAAGAACAACCAGUCAUGUGCGCCCAACACUGUGCAGGUAGACAAAUCUUCACAUUUCCUUAAAAAGGAAAGAAAAACCCCAACACAACCUAAUUUUUUAUCAACAGUCUACAUCAAGAGACAACAUAUGUUGUACUCAAGUUCACGUUUUAUUAAAAAUGCGAAUAAGGGCUCCUUGCUUAGCCAAGUACCAAACUUCAAAGCAAAUGGAAAGUGGCUUGUGGAGACAGUUUUCUUAAGAAGUUCUUUGUAUGAGGACCAAGAUAUCAAAAAGAGGCCUGAUAAUUACUGGGAGAAAAAGAACAUGCCAAAACGUUAUUGGCAUAUGAGGGGGCUGUUUCAGCAGUUUUUGAAAAGGGAUAAAAGAUGUCCAUAUUUUGAACUCUUGAAAAAGAAUUGUCCUAUUAAACCCUCAUUUGAUAAGUUGUCCUCACCUCGGUCAGUAGUAACGCACAACAUCAGUCCGGUUCUUUUUCCCGAUGAUGUCAAAGAAGGGGGUUUACAGGAAAAUAAGCUGACAAGUCCAAGAUGUAAUCGGAUGGAGGACUUGGAGGAGCUGCUACUUCAGUACACGCUACCCUGGAAAGUGUAUACUUUUGUCAGAGAAUGCUUGCACUUUGUUGUCCCGCAGCAGCUUUGGGGAUCCAACCAUAACAAGUGCAGGUUCUUGAAAAAUGUGAAAAAGUUUGUUUUCAUGGGAAGGUUUGACAAGCUGUCGCUGCAGGAGCUCAUGUGGAAAAUGAGAGUCAAUGACUGUACAUGGAUCAAACUCAACAAAGAAGCUCCUGUUCAUGCAGGUGAGCACAGAUAUCGUGAAACUAUCCUGGCCAAGUUCCUUUUUUGGUUAAUGGAGACCUUUGUUGUGCUACUCUUGAAGUCUUUUUUCUAUAUUACUGAAACUGCCUUUCAAAAGAACAGUUUGCGCUUCUACAGGAAGAUUAUCUGGAAGCAGUUGCAGGACAUUGCAAUCAGGAAACAUCUGAAAAAAGUACAGCUGCAGCCACUGAGCAAAGAGGAACUUGCACGGAUGCAAAAGCAGAAUUGUGGCCUGGUUGUUUCCAGACUCAGAUUUAUCCCCAAGCGAAACGGGAUGAGACCAAUUGUCAAAAUGGGAAAAGCCAUGGUAGUACAAAGUCAUAUUCAUGAGACAAGUAGAAAGAAGAUAAGUUAUUUUAAUAACCAGUUGAGAAAGCUGCACAGCGUCCUGAACUUCGAAUGCAAGAAAAGGCCUUCUCUUUUGGGAUCGUCAGUGUUUGGGAUGGAUGAUAUUUAUAAAGCUUUAAGAAAAUUUGCUCAAGAAAGAAAGAAUCAUCACCAGUCUGUACCUCACUACUAUUUUGUUAAGGCUGAUGUCAUUGGUGCAUAUGAUUCCCUGCCUCAUAAAAAACUGCUUGAAAUUAUUUCUAAUGUUAUCAACCCAGCCAUUGAAGAGAACUAUUAUGUUCGCAGAUAUGCUGUGACGUGGACAGAUACCUUUGGACAAAUAAGGAAAUCCUUUCGGAGAGAAGUUUAUAAUCUUAUGGAUUUUCUUCCAAGCAUGAGUCUGUUUACAACUCACCUUCAGAAUGACAAGUCAUUUCGAAAUGCAGUACUGGUUGAACAAGGUCUAACAAUGAAUGAGUCUGCCAAGGACAUGCUUGAAUUCUUCAAACAAAUGUUGUUAAAUAAUGUUCUCAAGAUUGGAAGCAGGACGUACGUACAGCGCUGUGGGAUUCCUCAAGGCUCUGUUAUUUCCACACUGUUGUGUAGCUUAUGUUAUGGAGACAUGGAAAGCAAAUUCUUCACACGGCUACAGAAAAGUGGUUUGUUGCUUCGGCUGGUUGAUGAUUUUUUGCUUAUUACUCCAGAUAUACAAGAAGCUAAACAAUUUCUCAGAUCACUUGUCACUGGUAUACCAGAAUAUGGCUGUGCUAUAAGUCCACAUAAAACAGUUGUCAAUUUCCCUGUUGAUGAUGUUCCUGAUUGUGCAGAGGCUCGACAGUUGCCUGAAAUCUCUCUCUUUCCAUGGUGUGGCCUUUUGUUAGACACUCGCACAGUUGAAGUGUUCUGUGAUUACGGGAAUUAUUCUGGCAGAUCAAUCAGAUUAAGCCUGACCCUCGGUUCCUGCUCUAAUGCUGGGCAAAACAUGAGACGUAAACUGUUGUCCAUCUUAAAGUUAAAAUGCCACUCUAUUUAUUUUGAUCUUCAGAUCAACAGUCACCUGACAAUCUACAUUAAUAUCUACAAGAUCUUCUUGCUUCAAGCAUAUAGAUUUCAUGCUUGUGUAAGAAGUCUGCCUUUUGGAGAGAAAGUCCGAAGUAAUCCUCACUUUUUUCUAACAGUGAUCUCAGAAAUGCCACCCUGUUGCUAUUCAAUUGUGAGAUUGAGCAACAAAGGAAUUUGUCUUGGAUCCAGGGAUGCCACAGGAAUUUUACCAUUUGAAGCAGUUCAGUGGCUAUGCUACAAAGCAUUCAUUACUAAGUUAGCAAGGCACAAAAGUGUGUAUAAGCCCCUGCUUGGACCACUUAAAUCAUCCAAAAUAUUGCUACAGAGGAAGCUUAAAUUAGACACUCUUCAAUUGCUGAAAAGAAUUACUGAUCCUGCAUUACCACAAGACCUUGCUGAAAUCAAAGACUGACAUCUUUUAACAAGCAUUUAUUUAAAGUUUUUGGCUAAAUAUAAUGGUGAUCUUCAGAAAAACGCAGGUCAAUAAGGUGGACAUGACAAAGGAGCCUUUUAUAACCAGAGUAUAUUCCAAGCCUCUAAGUAAGGCAAACUGGGCUUAAUAGACCUAAGGAAAAUGUCUUCUGUAAAUUCGUGAGUAUGAAUAUAAUUUUUCUCUUUUUAGCAAAGCAAUCUGGCUGACAUUUGAUUACAUAAAUGCAGGUUUUUAAUCAUUGCACUCUGUAGCAGCAGUGGAGAGAUGAAGCUAUAAAUAAUGGAAUAAAUUUGAUUAAAACAAACCCAAGCUAGACCACUUGCCUCAAGCCCUAAAAAACCAUGUGCACAUGAAUUGUCUAAUAAGGUGCACAACCAGCACAUUAAUCAAGCAUACCCCCUCUUGGGAUGUGGCUUUUUUUGUUUUGUCACACCUUUCUGUAUAAUAAAAAAACUAAAUUCAAAGGGGCAAAGAAAAAAAUCAUCAGUACAGUGUCAUCAGCCAGGGUAAAUAGUGCAUAGUCUGUCCCAGGAUGGAGUUGUGCAUAUUUUUUAAGUAUAUUAUUAAAUACACAAUAGUAAUCACACUAAUCAAAGGCAAACACUUAGAUUUAAGGAAGUAUUGAAGUAUUUUUUUCUUCCCAAUACAAAGCCCUACACCUGUAUAUCUCAUUGAAAUCUUUUACUUCUUUUUCAUUGUUUACAGCAGUAUUUCUCAAAAGGUGGGUUGUGGUGGCAUUACAGUGGCUGACCCCAGACAAAACCCAACUCACUGGCCCGAUGAUUGUGCUCAAUUCACAGCAGUAGCGUUGCAGGCGGAUUGCGGCUGAUCCUGGUCAACCUCCCCAGCCCCUGCUCUGAUGAUUAUGCUCGAUUCACCAAGGACGAGAAGCAUUGAUGAUCGUGCUUGAUUCAUCUAAUGUCUCUGAUGAUCGCACAGAAUCACCCCAUAAACCUCAAGCCAAUCCCCUGUGCUUUGCUGAUCGCGCAAUAUUUCAUGAGGAUGACUACUGUGGUAAACGCUGGUUUACAGCAUAUCAAAGGCUGGACAGAUAGUAAUUGUCUCCAGCUUAAUAAUGAUAAUAACAAGGAUAUUUUAUUUAGCACUCCAAGCCCAGUAGAAGUGUAGUUCAUCUUGCCUCUUGUGUGUCAUCUUUUGCCAAAAAAAUUGGGUGUGAUUAUUGAUUCCACACUUGGUUCAGUUAAGUUUAAUUCUACUUCUAGAAUUGAAUCAAUUUUGUCUUUCCAGGUUCUGGAAAAGGUUAUUCAUGCAUUCAUUACAUCAGGAUGGGACUAUUAUAAUUCUUUAUAUCAUGGUGUCCCACAGUCUCUACUUGGUCAUUUAUAAAUUGUCCAGAAUGCUGCUGCAUCUUUUGACUGUUUUUUAAAUGCAAGAGUACAUUACAUCAGUCCUGGCUUCCAUUCAUCGGCUUCCUGUUCAGUGCAGAAUUCAAUUUAUUUAUUAUUAUUAUUAUUAUUAUUGAUUCAUAUCGUUGAUUGUUUUUAAAGCUUUAAAUGAGAUGGCCCCAUCUUAUAUAGUCUGUUAGAUCCUUAACCAAACAAAUCCAGCGUGUGCUGCGGACAGGUUGAAAAUAAAAUGGUGACUGAACAUUUUCUGUUGCAGCUCCACAGUUUUCUGGUUGAUGUUAGGUGUGCUUCCUCCAUUUUUGUUUUUAAAUUUAGGCUUAAGACUUAUUUGUACUCUCAAGC